rnacentral:rRNA from 1 species
UGAGUGAGGGCCCUCUGGGUCCAACCUCCCACCGUGUUUAUUGUACCUUGUUGCUUCGGUGCGCCCGCCUCACGGCCGCCGGGGGGCUUCUGCCCCCGGGUCCGCGCGCACCGGAGACACUAUUGAACUCUGUCUGAAGAUUGCAGUCUGAGCAUAAACUAAAUAAGUUAAAACUUUCAACAACGGAUCUCUUGGUUCCGGCAUCGAUGAAGAACGCAGCGAAAUGCGAUAACUAAUGUGAAUUGCAGAAUUCAGUGAAUCAUCGAGUCUUUGAACGCACAUUGCGCCCCCUGGUAUUCCGGGGGGCAUGCCUGUCCGAGCGUCAUUGCUGCCCUCAAGCACGGCUUGUGUGUUGGGCUCCGUCCCCCCGGGGACGGGUCCGAAAGGCAGCGGCGGCACCGAGUCCGGUCCUCGAGCGUAUGGGGCUUUGUCACCCGCUCUGUAGGCCCGGCCGGCGCCAGCCGACAACCAAUCAUCCUUUUUUCAGUUGACCUCGAUCAGGUAGGGAUACCCGCUGAACUUAAGCAUAUCAAUAAGCGGGAGG